rnacentral:lncRNA from 1 species
GCUGCCUGGGUCGGCUGGGCCUGUGGGCCUGCGUCCGACAGCGCGCGGCCGUGCUUUCUAAGCGGGCUCGGCAGCACCAGACUUCACCGGCCCGGCGCGGGGCUCACAAGUGCUCGCACUCCCUGCGGCCGGCGCGCUGACCGGAGCCUCUGGGUCUCGCACGCAGCAGCUGCAGACGCUGCCCGGCGCGGUGGGGCUGUGAGCAAAACGGCCCGCCGGUGUGGUUGCCCAGACUGUGCUGGGCCCUCCUAGGUGGAUGGCCCUGCCCCAGCCUAACUUCUGUACCCCAGCAUAACCUCCAAAGUAACAGCCGUGCCCUGGGAGCCUGUUCAACACUGAACAUAUCCCACAAUAACACUGUUCCAGCGUCGCUGGUAAAAAGCAGAAAUGGCUUCGCUGGAGGCAUCGACAAAUCUAAUGCAGUAACCUCAUUUUACAGAAGAGAACUCUAAGAGGAUAACUAACUUGGCCAAGAUCACAUGAUGUUUCUGGAUGAGAUUAGCAUUCAAAUUCGUGGACUCAUUAAAGUAGAUGGCUCUCUCCAAUAUGGGUGGGCAUCAUCCAAUCUGUUGAAGGCGUGAAGAGAACAAGAGAAGGAGGAAGGAAGAAUUCACCUUUUUUCUUGCUGCCCACCUGCUUGGGCUGGGACAUUGCAUCUCACCUUCUCCAGCCUUUGGAUGAGGAUUUACACCCUGGUUCUCAGGCCUUCAGGCUCUAACUGGAGCUACACUAUCAACUUUCCUGGGCCUCCAGAUUGCAGAUGGUGGAUCACGGUACUUUUUAGCCUCCAUCAUAAUAUGAGAAAAAAGAGGCACAGUGAAGCUAAAUAUAUUGGCUAAAGAUCACAAAGCUAAGAAGAUUAUCAAGGUUAUCUGUGCUCAAUGUGUGCAUCUCAGAUCAGCAGCAUCAGCAUCACCUGGGAGCUUGUUAGAGCUGGAGACUCUCAGGCUCCACGGCAGACUUCCUGAAUCAGAAGCUACAAUUUAACAGGAUCCUCGGGUGAUCUGAAAAUGCAAUAAAGUUUGGGAAGCACUGCUGUUGGUCAUUAGACAAUCUAAUGAACUAAGACUUUUGCCGAGCAUCUGAGUUGAAAUUUUUCAAGAUGAAAAGUUGCUAAAGAAAGAGAAAGGGAAGCGGUUUGCUCCAGUAUUCCUCUUUCCACCUUCCCACUGACUGGGAAGCGGCGGUUAGCAGAGCCACAGUCUUGGAUUAGAGAUAAGAGGGACAUGUUGAGGAAGGUGGAGUCUCCCCCACAGCCCUGGACCAGGCUCCAGUGCCAACAAAAGCCAAGAAGAACCUCUGGAGCAAUCAGUCUUGGCAACCAGGUCUGUGCAUAAUCUAGAGAUCAAAUUGUUCCUGAUUCUCAAUCUCUGAUGAGCUAUGCCACGCUUAGAAGGUGGACAAGCGGUGCAUCUUGAUGUGGAAAACAGGUUUUUCUUUACAUUUUCUCAAUCCUAGGAAGAAUGGACAUCACAAGGAACUGCCAAGUACGGAAUCCCUGUAUUCUAGGAUUUGGCAAGCUGUCCACUGAAACAUUAUUUUUCCCAGCCUUCUUUGCAGAGAGUUGACACUUGAACUCUACAGUAGAUCAAGCUUUCAUGGUUGUGCUGAAGAACCAGAAACUUAUAAGGAAUGUAGACACGAUGGUUGGAGUUCCAGAAGUUGUCUUGGACGAUGAGGUAGCUUUGAGGAUAGAAGCCUUUGGCUAAGGAAGGUGGAGCACAAAGACAGAAGACGAAGAGCAUUCCUGAGGACUGUGGAGUUCCAUGCCAGCCUUGCAUUGUCUAUCUUGUUACUUCUGUGGGAGAAAAAAUACAGUAAACCUCUAUCUUGCUUAAGCUC